rnacentral:rRNA from 1 species
UGGGGAAUUUUGGACAAUGGGGGAAACCCUGAUCCAGCCAUCCCGCGUGUGCGAUGAAGGCCUUCGGGUUGUAAAGCACUUUUGGCAGGAAAGAAACGUCAUGGGUUAAUACCCCGUGAAACUGACGGUACCUGCAGAAUAAGCACCGGCUAACUACGUGCCAGCAGCCGCGGUAAUACGUAGGGUGCAAGCGUUAAUCGGAAUUACUGGGCGUAAAGCGUGCGCAGGCGGUUCGGAAAGAAAGAUGUGAAAUCCCAGAGCUCAACUUUGGAACUGCAUUUUUAACUACCGGGCUAGAGUGUGUCAGAGGGAGGUGGAAGUCCGCGUGUAGCAGGUAAAUGCGUAGAUAUGCGGAGGAACACCGAUGGCGAAGGCAGCCUCCUGGGAUAACACUGACGCUCAUGCACGAAAGCGUGGGGAGCAAACAGG